UGGGGAAUAUUGGACAAUGGGCGAAAGCCUGAUCCAGCAAUGCCGCGUGAGUGAUGAAGGCCUUAGGGUUGUAAAGCUCUUUUACCAGGGAUGAUAAUGACAGUACCUGGAGAAUAAGCUCCGGCUAACUCCGUGCCAGCAGCCGCGGUAAUACGGAGGGAGCUAGCGUUGUUCGGAAUUACUGGGCGUAAAGCGCGCGUAGGCGGCUUUUCAAGUCAGGGGUGAAAUCCCGGGGCUCAACCCCGGAACUGCCCUUGAAACUGGAUGGCUAGAAUACUGGAGAGGUGAGUGGAAUUCCGAGUGUAGAGGUGAAAUUCGUAGAUAUUCGGAAGAACACCAGUGGCGAAGGCGACUCACUGGACAGUUAUUGACGCUGAGGUGCGAAAGCGUGGGGAGCAAACAGG
rnacentral:rRNA from 1 species